GUACAUUAUUGUAAAGUGAUACAAUUACCACUAGUGAUAUGGAAGGAGGAGUAGACCACAAUAUUCUUGGAAAUAGAACCUCACCUCUACUAAGGAGCUGGCCUUGGAGUGUUGUUAGACUGAGCCACUGCUGCAUGCUGUUUGUGCAAAAUGCUGGCAAGAAGAAUAUCGAGUGAGUGCUCUGGACCUCUCUAGAAAGUGAGAUGCCUGCCUGCCCAGGGCAUUCAAGAGAGCCAGAUUCUAAAUAAAAUAGAGCCACAUCUUCAUGAAAACUGUUUUGUACACUGUAUUCCAAGGACUCCUCUCUGCUUGUUUUCUUUAACUGGUGUUUAGCACAUGCACACAAGGCUUUCCCUCCUUGCUUCCAUUUUCCUCAAACAGGGUCCUCAUUUCUAUCUCUUUCCUUUAACUCCACAUCAGAAAUAAAAACUUCACAAAUUUAGAAUCACUUAGUUAUAAACAUAAAAAUGAAGCAGGCACAAAUUUGAAGUAAUGGAAGUGAACGUUUUCCUUAUUUAGCAUUUGUCCAAGCUUCCAUCAUUCAUAUAUCACUGUGGUGGCUUUUCCCAUAGAUAUGGUGUCAUACUAUUGCUAUUUUUCUUUGAAUAAACUUCUUUUUUCAUUUUGUACUCAUCUUAAGCAUAAUGAAGUCAUGAAUAAGAUGCAAUAUUUAUUUUUUCAGAUUGAUUUAUUUUAGAGAGAGAGCACGAGUGAGAGGGGCAGAGGCAGAGGGAGGGAGCAUCUCAAGCAGACUCUGCAUUGAGCUUAGAGCCCAACAUGGUACUCGAUCUCAUGACCCUGAGUUUAUCACCUGAACUGAAACCAAGAGAAACCAAGAGUCAGAUGGCUUAACCAACCAGGAGCCCCAAGAUGCUAUGCUUAUAAACUUUCCAAUGGCACAUUAAAAUAAUCAACUAUCAAAAUUAAAAAUUAAAAAUGUGUGUCUUUCUCAAUGAAGCUGGGGGGAGGGAAAGUGUCCUUUACCAACUAAACUUAUGAAGUUUCCAGAACUUGGGAGGCAUUGAUACAAGGCUAAGACCCAACCAAGUUAUAUCUGCAAUGGUUGACCUGAUUGCUACUGAGGAUGUUAUGUGGCUUCUGCAGGCAUGUUUGCUGCUCUUUUACCGGGAUCCAGUAUUACUGAAUUCUAAAGAGUGUUUUGCAGAUUGAUCAAUUAGUUAAUAUUCAUAAUCAUGCUUUGCAAAUCAAGAGAGUCAAAGACAUGCUAAAUACCAUGAUUUUGAAAACACUUUA
rnacentral:lncRNA from 1 species